CCCGACCAAUCUUGCAACGAGGACAAUCGCAAUGCCCCUCUCGAAUUUCACCUUCUUCAAUCCCAUCAUCAUUCUCUGCUUCACUCCUUGUUCUUUUUCUUGCGACUGUUUCCGGAUUUUCGUUACCUUGCAGUUCUUGGAUCUCUGUUUUCAUAAGUGCGUUGAACAUUUGAGAAAGAACCACGUCUCCUUGAAACAGAUUUUGAAGAGACUUUAUGAGUUCAUCUCCUUGUAUAUGCCGGGACCUAAAUUGUUUCAUCAACCCCAUGUAUUCCUUGAGUUUCGCUUCACUUAGUCUUUCUUUGAUGAACUCCGCUAUAUACAAAAACCAAUGCUUACAUACGGCUUCACUCUCAAUCUUU